GGGAAUUUGGGCAAUGGUGAGAGCUUGACCCAUCCAUGCAGCGUGCAGAAAGACGGCCCUAUGGGUUGUAAACUGCUUUUAUAUAGUAACAAACGGGGCCUGCGGGGCAGACUGAGUGUACUAUAUGAAUAAGCACCGGCUAACUCCGUGCCAGCAGCCGCGGUAAUACGGAGGGUGCAAUCGUUGUCCGGAUUUAUUGGGUUUAAAGGGUACGUAGGCGGAAGACUAAGUCCGAGGUGAAAGCCCGCAGCUCAACUGCGGAGGUGCGUUGGAUACUGGUUAUCUUGACUGCCGUAGAGGUAGGCGGAAUUCAUGGUGUAGCGGUGAAAUGCAUAGAUACCAUUAGGAACACCGAUAGCGAAGCCAGCUUACUCGCCGGUGACUGACGCUGAGGUACGAAAGCGUGGGGAGCGAACAGGAUUAGUUUCCCUGGUAGUCCACGCUGUAAACGAUGCUCACUCGGUGUAGGAGCCAUACGGCCUUCGUCC
rnacentral:rRNA from 1 species